CCAGGACCCGAGGGAGGACAGUUUAGCGAUGGCGCUACAACACGCUACAGCAGGUCCGUUUGACAAGAAACACUUCUGUUACAGACACUUGUCUUACUUUGUUAAAGCGGUUUACCUGUCCAGCAGAAAGGUUACAGGGUCACCAAGAUCCCCAAGCGUCCCCCAUCGUUUAUGUUGACCCGGCUUUUUGGCUCUUGUCCGGUCUACCUCCGUUUUAAGCGCCCGUUAUUCCUCCAGAGUCUCAGGUAUUUACUUUGUUUUCUUGCUUGUGUCAGCAGUCGUGGCCAAAGGAGGAUUCAGACAAUUUUCCGAACUUUCUGGUUGGUUUCUACUGUCCGAUAUUGUAGCACGCUAACUUUGUUUGGGCUCCUGAACGACACGGGGGAGCAGCGUCUGCCUCACAACCAAUCAGGUUAGAGGAGGUGGAGAACGGCUUUGUUUACAGUCAGAAAGAGCGGACCGCUCAGAAUUUCAAAUGUUGACAACACAGACAUAAGAGAACACAGAGAUAUCGAUAUAUUACCAAAUGUCAUCAAUAACUAAUAACUAUUGACUGAUAUUAAAAGGUUUUUUGUAAAUACACCACAAAAAAGAUGCUUCUUUAACGGAUUCCUGCCUACUCCACCUUUAACACAGAUAUAAAUUUAGUUAAUAUUAUUUAUUGACAAAUAACAAAUUACACAUUAGCACACAGCAAAAAGAAGUCAGACUUCCAUGUGAACAUUUAGUGCAAAAGGACAGACAGACAUAAAAUAUGGAGCGAACAGAAUCGCUGUGUUUGAUACUAAUAAAAAAAAAAAAAAGUGGAUCGGCGUCAUUCAUCAGAUAUCUGAUCCAGUUAAUUUGUCAAUAUCAGAGCCGAUAUCAGAUCCAAAUAUCUGAACGGUCCAUCCCGAAAAGGGACUAUUUUAAAACCACAACCUCUGCAUGCAUGUCAGUCUGUCUUUGUGCUUCAGUCGAUCGAUGUAUGAAACAAGAGAAAGUGCAGCCGCCUCAUGUUGUGAUAAAGUCUGUUUUUCUCGACAUGUCGUGUUGUGUUGUUUUCCCUUUAGCAGGAAGUGGUUUCGUCCUGAUUCAGGUCUUGUACACGGCCCCCUAUAGGUGUAAUGACAGCUGUCUGCUUAAAAACACACACUUUAGGUCCAAAUGGAGGUCUUUGUGUUCUCAGUGACUCCUCAUUUCCAUCUCAUUAACCUCAUCGAGGGUUUCGUCUCCAGCUUUGAUAAAUAUGACAAUAAGCAGACGCCGCGUGUGACGAGGGGAAGCGAUAAAAAUCUUGCUUUACAUUUGUAUCGCGUGAGUGAUCCCUUUGUGGAUUCCUGAGAGCUCGCUGGAGCUGCAGGUCUUUAACAUCUACUGCAAAUGUGAAUUGAGUACCUUCCCCCUCUGUGAAUCACAUUCAUCUGAAUAAAUAGAUAAAUACAGGAUCUGCUCAUAAAGAGGAAAUCUUAUUUUCCUGUCGGUGAGUGAAGCUGCUGAUCUCAGUGACAAGUUUUCAAAGACUAUGAAAAGAUAACGCACUGCACUUUUACCUAAAAUAAAAAAAUGCAACGUUCUUUCAACAUGUUUGGUUUUAUUCAAGCGGGAGCGGGACAGGAGAGGGAGUAAUUUUGAGUGGGAGCGGGAUGGGAGUGGGAGUCAUUCUACGGGAGUGGGACGGGACAGGAGUGAAAAUCCGCUCCCGUGUCGUGCUCUAGUCUGUACGUCUGAGUUUGUUGGAAGAGCUUCAUAGAGAGAAACCGCCGCCUCUCAAAUCUUAUUGAUUUUCAGUGAAACAGGAGCCGACAUCAUCUUAAAUGUGGCUCAUUUAACCUCUAACGGUGACCUUUGACCCUCCUUGUGACUGUUGGUUUAACAGAUCGAUACACAGAAGAGACGAUGCAAAUAAAGCAGGAUGGAUGUUUAGAUGAAUAUUCAAUAUCUGUGACCCGGCACAUUGCGACAGACUCGUCUGUGUUUCGUAUUUGUUUGCCGAGAAGUUUCUUUUUUUUUAAACUUUUUAUUUAUUUACAGAACAUGAGGUCAUCAUGGGUGAUACAGCUGAAUAUUCGAAUAUUAUAUAAUAUUAAUAAUGUGAAUAUUCUUUUACACAUAGAUACAUAUAUACAAGCACACAUUAAUCAUAGCAAAUGUCUCACUAUUCAAGGUGCAUACUAUUUUCGUUUCAGCAUUUCAAACAUUUCUCCAACUAAAGUCUCAAAAGAAAAGUAAGUCUCUCCAUACAAUGAAUUUCUUGGAGAAUCCCGUGCCGCUGGUUCAGUGCUGGGGAAUCUGGUUGUAACCACCUUCUUGUUAUGGCUUUCCUACCACUUGCCAAAGGAAUCUUCAACAGGUACCUGUCCUUAUGUAGGUCUGUUUCUGGGAUUUUACCGAGAUAUAAAACAACGAAAGAAAAGUCUAAAUCCACCCCCAAUAUUUAUUUAUCUCGGUUGACACCUCCCUCCAAAAUGACUGGAUUUUCGGACAGGCCCAAAAAAUAUGAAAGUGAUUAGCCAUAGGGGUUCCACGUUGUCUCCAGCAGUAGCCUCGGUUCUGUGUGCCUGUUUGCAGUGCUGUUAAUUUAGGGGUUAUGAAAAAUCUCACCACAUUCUUCCAGCCAAACUCUCUUAAAGAUCUUGAAUUUGCAGUUGUCGCUUGUGUCUCACACAUUUCUAUCCAGGUCUCUUCUGAUGUUUGUAUUCCUGACUCCUUUUCCCAUUUUUGUUUAAUGGAUAACGUAGAAUGAUUUUUAGAGGCUUGCAUACCCUUGUAUAAUCUUGAGACCAACUUUUUAUUAUCUUUCUUUUUAUAUGCAUUUGCCGAGAAGUUUCAGGUAUAGAAAUAAGUAGUUUCUCAUUUUUAUCAACGCGAGUUUUGUGCAGAAGAAGAAGAGAUUCCAUUUGGCAGGAUUCACAAACUUCCACCUCGACUCUGACACAUGAGCGUUAGCCGAAGCGUGCAGCUGGAAUACGACUUGCCAGCUGCUGUCAACAAGGUAAAAAAUUGAAAUGGGCCUUGUCUUAUCUCGCUGCAGCAGCAUGAACACGAGGCUACAUCUCACCCAUCUCAUACGUUUCUGUGAUCGUUGCAAUAUCUGCGAGUUUCUGCCCCACCAAUCCUGACCGCCCUGCAGCGACUCCACGUUAACUUGCUGACUGAAUCAACUUGAAACAAAUGCAGAAAAACAAGCCUCGCCUGGAGGGCAGGAGGAGAGUGUUUAUCCUGCAGGCAUUCCUCCUCUCAGAUAACAGGAGCAGAGUUUGGAGGAUGCCGGAGUAUUUUACUGCAGGAUUCCUUCUUAAUGUACAGAGCUGUGUGUGCCGCACCGCUUAAUCCUGGAAAGAUGGCUUCAUUAAUCCUGUUUAUCCCUCUGUGUGUCGCUGCAGCUGAAUGCAGGAGCUCCAAGUAACUGAUGGGAGUUGUACCGCUGAGUGACAGGAUUACAACCCCACCUGUCCACGCCGUGGAUUCACUAGAGGGGUGUGUCCAAAGAAAAAAGGAAGCAACAGUACUCUCUGUGCACGAUUAUUAGAGUAGAUGCUUUUUUCCUCUUGAAACAUGAAGUAGGUCUGGGAGUCGAGUCUUUGAUCAUCUUGGAUCUUUCCAGCCCAUCCUUGUAUCCCACCUCCACCUUACUAGAGUCUGAGUCAGAGUGGAGUUCUACGCUCAUUGCUGAUCCAAUCAUAGGCCUGUCUGUCUGUCCAUCAAGACUCACUCUCGUCUCUUCAGUCCAUAAAACCUUUGAAAAAUCCGUCUUCAGAUAUUUCUCAGCCCAGUCGUGUUUUUUCAGCUUCUCUGUCUUGUUCAUUGGUGGUCGGGUUUCAGCCUUUCUUACCCUGAAAAUGUCUCUGAACACCGUGGACUUCUGGACUCUCCAGGUAGGUUGCAGCUCUGGGGGAUAAUGGGUUCCUGGUAGAUCCACUUCAGUUCUUCUCAGAUCUUUGGCUGUUUAUUUGUGUCUUUUUCUCUCAACAAUUUCUUGCAAUCUUUUUGGAUAGUUAAAACAGACCAAUUGAUAGUUUUGUGGUCUUGUCCAAAAAUCUUGGCAAAUUCAUGAUCUUAUCUUAAUGAUAUGAUCAAAAUGUUCACUUGCUUAUUUAGGGCCCUUUGAUUUCCACAUUAACGGAAUCGCGGAAUAGGCCAAUAACAAUGGAAUCUACUGUUAAUGUUGAAUCACGUGGAAAUUGGCAUAAUGUGACUGAAAUACUGUUAUUGCAAGGAGAAGGAACGUUUGUCCAGGGAAAUGUUCUCAGGGACCACUCAUUAAUGGCAAUACCCAUACAUCUUCACAAGCACUCCCUCCUGAUAUAACAGCAUGUCGAAGUGGCGACCAGAGACGGCUGGGCUACAUCUAUAAAAAAAACGUCAAAACUCUUCUCUGUCUCCAAAGUACUAGAUCCAAGCAAUCUCCAAAUGACUUUUACAGCUGUAAAUGUAGGAAUAUUUGCAUUUUAUUAAUCAACAUUUUAUUUACUGACACUAAAAGCAUACACCCUAAGGUAGUAAAGAAGUGUAAAAGGUAAAAAAUGGAAGAGAAUUUGGAAAAAUUAAAACAGAUUUCAUAUUGCCCUAACUAAUUAGUUGUGCCCACAGUGUAUGUCCCUGUGUGCUUCAUCUCAACACUUGCAUUAACGCACGUCUUCUAUAAAUGUCAAACAUUAUAAGUUGUAAUCCAUCUGUACAAACAAUAAUCUAUUUGCUGUUUUAAGUUCUUAAAACGCUCCAAACAUGGUUUAUAUCGUGUCGUUAGACUUUAAGAAAAAUCUCUUCUGUUGAAAGAUCUCUAAAGUGUCCGUCGAAUAAACCAAAAGUUGUUUGUACCGUCGGCUUUUUUAAGAGUAUUUAGCAACAAGAAUCUGGAGGCCGAGUAUCUCUGAGAACAAGAGAAAACCUCAUGAAUGGGAAGUGAAAUGUUUUCUUUGAGCGCAGGUCAUAAAUGAUAACAGUGUGAAUGAUGAGAUUAAGUUGUUAGCGGUUCGAAGAUUGCUCAUGAGCUUGAAUGGCCUGCCAGGAUUUCAGCCCACGCUGUAAAAGGUGAAGGUGUUUGAGGAGUGAAGUGUUUUUUCUUGGAUCGGAUAACAAAAUGUUUGAGUUUAAAAGAUGUUCUAAUUGAAUUUUUCGCCCUCUCCGAUAUCCUGACGGUUGACUCACCUUAAAAAUCAAAUACAUCAGUCAAUAAUCUUGUUAAGUGCAUCACAUUAGUUAUGCCGAGAUUAAAAGAGAAAGAUUGAAGCCAGUGUGGGAAGCUUACAAAACGAAUUUCAAAAAUGGUGGUAAACCUUGAUAAUUUCUUCUAAAGUACCCUCUGUGACUCAGUGGCAUUUUUCCAGAAGGCUUUUCAAAGCUUAAAUUUCUCUUGAAUCUCUGAGUCUCUUUGUGGUUUGUUGCUGUGAAAGCUGGCAGUGUUGCCGGCGGCUGUGUGUCAUGCCAAGCAGAGGAAUCCUGCCGGUUUCGAAAUCCUCAAAAUCUCAGGUCUAAAGGUUAGAAAUGUGGGUUUGUAACCAGGAGAUCCUGAUUUCACAAGCACCGCAGCAGGCUGAGGGGUUGACUCAGUGAAAUGCAAAACUAAAUUCUGACAGGUAUACGCUUCGUUAAGAUUUUUUUAGUCGGCGUGGAUAUUUUGGAAACACCAGCUGCGUUCUCAGUCAAGUCCAAGAAUCGCUGCCAGCAGCUCUGAGGAGAAACGGCUCAAAGGUGGCCAUGAAAGAAAGUCAAUAAAAAGUUUAAAGCGAAUCUAUUUGAGGAGCAGAAGAAGAAGAAGAACAGACAACUUUUAUAUCUGUGACAUCCUGAACUGUAGACUCAGCAGUCAGAUUAUUGAUUUGUCUUCUUCUGAACAUUGAUCGUUUUUGGCAAAUUUAUGCAAAAUUAAAAGUAUCCUGUUUUUACUUGCUGUCGGAGAGUUUAACCACACAAGAAAUAUUCAAAUCUGUGGCUGCCGGUUAUCUAGGGUGACCAUACGUCCUCUUUAACCUGGACAUGCCCUCUUUAUUGGGGUCUGUCUGGGUUUGUCCGUAUUUGUCCGGGGACAUUAAUACAAAACCCAAUUCCAUUAAAGAUGGGAAAUUGCGAUAAACGUAAAUAAACACAGAAUACAAUGAUUUGCAAAUCCUUUUCAACCCAUAUUCAAUUGAACACACUACAAAGACAAGAUAUUUAAUGUUCAAACUCAUAACCUUUUUUUUUUUUUUUGCAAAUUAUAAUUAACUCAGAAUUUCAUGGCUGCAACACGUGCCAAAGUAGUUAGGACAGGAGCAUGUUUAUCACUGUGUUACAUCACCUUUCCUUUUAACAAAACUUUAUAAACGUUUGGGAACUGAGGAGAACUAGUUGUUGAAGCUUUGAAGGUGGAAUUCUUUCCUAUUCUUGCUUGAUGUACAGCUUCAGUUGUUCAACAGUCCGGGGUCUCCGUUGUCGUAUUUUAUGCUUCAUAAUGCGCCACGCAUUUUCAUUUUGUAUGUACCUUUCGGCAUUAAUGUUGCCUUCACAGAUGUGUAAGUUACCCAUGCCUUGGGCACUAAUGCACCCCCAUACCAUCACAGAUGCUGGCUUUUGAACUUUGCAUCGAUAACAGUCCGGAUGGUUCUUUUCCUCUUCGCCCGGAGGACACUACGUCCACUAUUUCCAAAAACAAUCCACUUUCCACCUUGCAUCAGUCCAUCUUAGAUGAGCUCGGGCCCAGAGAAGCCGGCAGCGUUUCUGGAUGUUGUUGAUAAAUGGCUUUGGCUUUGCAUUGUAGAGUUUUAACUUGCACUUACAGAUGUAGCGACAAACUGUAUUUACUGACAGUGGUUUUCUGAAGUGUUCCUGAGCCCAUGUGGUGAUAUCCUAUAUUUUUUUGCCACCUUUCCCAGCUUCAAAUGUCUGCGGUUUUGUACAAAAGUUUCGAGUUUGUGUCACGUGGACUUACUGAGUUAGAAGUGCGUGAAAGACACUCGAUCCGACCCAAAAAACUCUCAUAAUGAAGUCCAUGUAACUCCAUGACUCCACCCUGUUGUAGUCGUGUCCUCUUUUUAGGAAGUACGAAUAUGGUCACCUUAAGUUUACCUUGAUUCAAAAGUGUUUAAAUCGGCACGUUAAACGGCUAAAACAGCUUCAUUUUUGUGCACCAGGGCAGUUUUUUAGAAAAAUGUUCUGUGACAGUGAGUGGAGAUCAACAGGCGGCUAAGUCUUCGAAGACGGAUUAACAGAAGUCAUCAGAGCGUCUGUUAACUUUUAAUCAAGCCAUCAUUUGUGAUCAAUACUCCAUCUGCGAGAUCCCAACAUGAGCUGUGAAAGUGUUGCGUCUCACUUUCGCUCAAUCCAUCUCUGGUUAUUGAUACGAGCCCGAAGAGAAAGAAAGUGAGAGGAAACUCCCCGGGUGAUGGAACCGUGGCGAGGGCGAGCUGUUGGAGGGCGGCGAGAAAACGAGGAAGGCAGAAACAUUAAGACAAAGAGCUUCUCUGAGUCGUCAAUAACCCCGAUGGACGCUGCGGCGGCACUGUCCGAACACUUCUCCACUCCUGAAAUAUUAUCUGCACUACUCCAACAUCUACUUGAAGACACGCUCCCCCUCCCCCUCUGCAAAGUCAAUUAUUAUUGAUUCUGCAUUUGAGCAAGCAUGUGUGUCUCCUCAGGUGGAACCGAAUUACUCUGAAACACCCCGGGAGGCCUGUGCUCCUCGCAGAAGGCUGAGAACUAUUAGCUGACUGCACUGGGAAAAUAAAACUAAAUUAAGGCAAAUAAACAAUAAUAAAAAGGCUGCUGUUGCAAGGCGAGGAGGAUCAGUCAAGAGUGGCCGACAAGGCCCGCAGUAAUGUUAAACACUGGAUCAAUGUUUAUGCUGGAAGAGACCGCUCCACGUUGACCUGGCGCACGCACCUCCAGAAGAAGAAGUGAUGAAGUGAGCAGCUCACAGUCUGUCCGAUAAUUAAAAUAUGUUGACCUCAUUUCACUUCUUGAAACUUUAUUUCGAUCUAUUCAGCAAAGAUGACUCCAAACAGUGAUUUUUGUGUACCGAUAAACCUCUGGUCAUCUGGAAUCAUAUCUAUCCUAGGACCACCCAGAGAGGAAAUCGGCACUGAUCAAUAUCCAAUUCGGAUCAAAUCAAGUCACGCCUACUAAUGCUGAGUUCAAGUUACCUCAGAAGUCAGAUGUUGGAGCUGGGAAUGACGUCACACAAGUUCCCAGCUUUUCAAUUACCAAGUCAGAAAAAAGCAAAAUUGGAGGCGGAAACAAGAUGUUGCAGAAGGACUGUGUAUUUGUCCAAAAAUUGCUUAUAUUCUGACAAGGCAAGUGCUAAAAUCACUUUCAUAGAUGUAGCCAUCUUGUUUCUACCUCUGAUUUUUCUUUUUUUCCAUUUGGUAACUCAUUCCCAGCUCCAACAUCUGCUGUCCGAGGUACCUUGAACGCAGCAUAAGUCUGCCCGAUAUCUGAGCGUCAUGAUUGAUGACCAGUGAACCUUCAAGGCCCAUGUGGCCGCGGUUUGCUGGUCCUGCCGUUUUGCUCUUUAUACCAUCAAGAAGAUCAGACCCUUCCUGACUGAGCAUGCAACACAGAUCCAGAAUCUGUGUUGGCUCUGGUAAUCUCAGGUACUUACUACUGCAACUCCUCACCGCCAGGUUAGGCUGGGCAAUUCCUGAUUCCUGUUCCUAACAAUUGUCUCUUCUGAUUGUUUUGGUUGAUGAUGGUUUGAUUGUUGAUAGUGUAAAUGAGGGCUCUAACCAGAGUUCUUUUUUCAUUUGUUUACCGCUUCAGUGUUAGCAGAAGACAGACAUCAUUUGUUGUUUUACUAUCUGAUUCUGACCAGUUAGAGGACGACCGGUGAAGCAUGUCAAAGACGGGGCACUCAGUUAUUUCUACUCCAUGAAUCAGGAGGUGUUUAUCUAAUCAUGUUGGUCGUGUAUCUUCCUUUGGCAGAAAUAGUUUUUUCGCAGUUGGUGCUCUGUGCUACUCUGUCCUCCUCUUUUGAAUUCAAAUGAAGCAAGAUUUUAGAGCGUUUUUUGUGGUACAUGUUCAGACGAGCGAUGUUCUUGCUAGUGGAAAAGCAGAGAACAAACUAGUGCAAGCACUCGGAACCAAAACAAAGAAUCGAAAUUCAAAAAUCUCCUCAAUGGUUCCGUAACAGGACAUUAGGAACUGAUUCUAGGUACCCAACCCUACUGGCAGACCUCAAGUCACUCACCAAACUCUCUUCUUCUGUUGCCCCUAAAUGGUGGAAUGAAUUACCCAACUGUAGCUGUACAGCAAUUAUUUAUUACAGUGUCUAUUGUUCUGCAUUAUAUCUACUUACCCAGAUCAGGGGAGGUCAACGGUUUUGGUAAAUCUCACCAGACAAGAAAUUCCAUCAUAACCAAUAAAAUCCUCCUGAUACGAUUUAUCACAAAAUCUUAACAGGCGAAUUUCUGAUUUGAGGACCGAUCAGACCAGACUAAACCAGAGCGCUCUCUCUCUCUCUCUCUCUCUCUCUGUCUCUCUCUGUCUGUUGGUUUUCAGAGUCUCUUUCUUUGUGGGUGUCGUCAUUAGCAGAUCUGCUGCUGCAGGUCGGAGCGGAGUCGGGGGGUCAUCUGCCAAAUCUGUUCCGUGAUUAUCGCUGUAAUUUGAGCGGAGUAAAAAGAGGAUAAUCUGGGUCAGAUCUCCCCCUCACUUCUUGGAAAUUGUCUGUCAUCACAUAUGCAUUCAAGACGGCCCACGCAUAUCAAACGGGACAUCUUGAGGCACGAUUGGUCCACUCCAUUCAAGAGGCUGAUUAUCAGACAGAAAUCUUCACGGCAGCAGAAUCAAACCCUACACUAGAGAUACAUCAGACACACUUUCUCAUUUAUUGUUAAUGCAAUCAAAGGGCCCUCUCUCUCCGAGCAGACACUCGAAUCAACAUGUGAAGUUAAGAGGAAGGGAAUCAGAUGUGUCGUGGUUUAAGAGAACGUGUGCUGAGAAGGCAGAAAGAGGAGCGGGCGCUGAAAGCUCCCACUGAUUGGUUAUUUCAGCGAAACUCUGCAGCUCGGCGACGAGAUAAUGAGCUCUCUUUGAUCAGAGGAGAAUUGUUGUAUAUGAUGAUCGUCUUUCUGCGUGUGUGUGUGUGUAAAGACGUGUGCGUGUGUGUGUGUGCCAGCAACAGGGCCUGAUGAAUAUUCAAAGAAGAUUGUCUGCCAUAAUAUCCCUGAGGAGCAGCUGGCUUGUUGUGAAACACACGGGAGGCCCGCCACGCAACUUGUCACGAUCUCCUGAUUGUGGAUCGGGAAGAGGCCUUAAAAAGGUUACUCUAGGUCACACACAGAGAGCGAGGGCGAGCGAACAGGUCGGGGGAGAGAGAGAGAGAGAGACAUGGACUGUCAUUGUGGAGAAUCUCACGGAUGUUAUAAAGAUAACAGUUUAUCAUCAGUUUGAUUUGCUCUGGAUGACUGAAAGAAAAUGAUAAUUGCAUGCUAAUUACUUUCUAAAGAGUAUCAAUUAAUCAUUUAAACAGAAACAACAACAGCAAAAACAUUCAUCUCUCUCCAGUUGAGAAAUUAGCAGGAGUAAUUGCUUUCUAUUUGGUUUUGCUAAUUAAAGAAUAAAAUAUCAGUAAAAUUGGGUUUUGCUUGUUUCUGUACUGCUUUACUGAACCGGCGUACGACCCGUUUUUUCCCGCCACACGACACCCUCUGGGGGUUAACCGCCACAUUAGAUUUAUCUCCAGGAUGCAGCAUCCUCUGUUUUUUUUUUAAUUAAUCCUUGUUUCAUAAAAAAUAAUAAUAAUGCUGGGUGGAGAUAAGGGACUGGGGUCUGAGAAUGCAUCACACGGCCCAAAGCCUAUUUGUCGUGUCACGAGCGACUGUCCUCGUUCAAGCUGGCAGAGAAACACAGGGCGCUCGCUGUAAACCCUCCAAAUGUGCACGCUGGACCACCUUUUAUCUGUUCAAUCCACUCACAGCCAACCCCGCGCUGGUAAAUAUUCCAUAUUUCUCUCCCUGGCAUCAUGUGGGAUUUAUUUUUCUGUUUUUGCACUCUCCGAAGUCAGCACAUUAAAAAGUGCAGCAGCACUCCUGAGUGAUGUUCGUGUGUGUCCUCCCAAAAGUCUUUCCAAAGCAGCAGCUCCACUCGACCAAGACCAUCCAUCUCCACUCAUAAUGUGCAUUUAAUAAGAAUUAAAUUGGCGGGUGGAUGGAUGUGGUUUGAGCCGUGUGAUAGUGACAGUUUGACUUUUCAUGGCUUUGAUAUCUGGACGACAGGCGCCUGUAAGGCCUAAUGGGGCCGUUCCACCAGCAUCUGUUAAGAAUGCUUCAUUGAGUUUACAAUUAGUGAGGGCCACGGUUCACUGACGGGCUGUGUGACCACUCAGAGGGUGAUAACUCUGAUAAAGGCUCACGGGUUUACUCGGAGGGGGAGGAAGAGUUCGGCUUUUAUUCUGUUAGCAGCAAAUUAAAGUGUGAAAAACAUAUAAUGAUUCGUCUGCUCUUUAAUGAUGACCGAAGGACGGAGAGGAGACCCACACAGGUCGAUCUGUCGGAGGAACAAACAAACUGGCUUGAUGUGAAGUGUUGAUAUGGAGAUACGCUGGAUUUAGAGUCGUUUCGAUUCCGAUACCAGUAGCGGAAAAUGCUGUAGGGCUGUCAAAAUUAACACAAAGGUUCAAAAGUAUUUACAUAUCUAGUUUACACAGCUUGCACAUAACUUCAUCUCUCAGCAUUUUUCUGUCUGCCGUGUUUGCCCAAAAUCCGAAGAAUUUCCAAACGGAUCUUCUAAAGUUCGUUGGCGUCCAGACCACUCUCUCUGAGUUUGGCUUCAAACAUCACGCCAUCUCUCUCUGCAUGUGACACAGACGGCUCCUGUGAUCUGUCCCUGACCCGUCGUUACAGUGCACUCACCCACUGUUUUUUUCUUUUUUUCUCAGUUUUUCUCUCAUUUUAUUAAAUACUGGAAUAUUAAUUUUCUCAUUUUUCUCUGUUUUUUUCUUUAAAUAUUCGAGUAUAUAUUCAAAUUUAGAAUAUUCGUUGACAACCCUAAAAUGCUGGUAUCAGUAUCGGCGAGUACUAGAGUCCAGGCACCGAUGCGAUACCACAUACAUUAUUAAAUUAGUUAUUUAGCUCCGUUAGCUCUGACACAGUUCUUCUUUGCCGAUCUAAAACUGCAUGGAUCACAUGACCGACACAGUUGACGAGGCUCAGACCCACUUUAAUUUAAAUAAAACAACAACAUAUAUUCAUAGAUUUAUUUACCACUAUUUUAUUCUGUUCUGUUUAAAUCCACUUUUUAUUUAAAAAUAUUGCGGCUGCACUUUAAUGUUUUUUUUUUUAAAUAAUUAUUCCUAAAUUUAUUUAGUUAAAUUAUAUUUGCUGAUUUUUAUACUAUCUAUUUAAAAAUAAAUGGCUUAAAUUUGCAGUGCUUAUUUGUGUUUUACAAAGGAUUUAACCUGAGCUUGAAUUUACCACAAUAAUAAUCAUUUCAGUGUAAAAAAGGCCUGGUUAAUAUAUAUAUUUUUUUAUAUAACAUACUGAUAUUGGACUCUGGUUUCUCUGGAGUUUUGUUGUUCGGGCUGACGGAGUAAACAUGAGGAACAUGAGCAGAGAUUUUCAUCCAUGACAGACUCGUCCAAUUUGGCCCCAUAUGUGUCCGAGAUGAUCGCCUUUAUGAUCCCCAAGCAAAGCAUGCUGGGAAGGGGGGUCAGAUCCCUGUGACCCUGUGUGGACAUGAUGGAUUUGGAGCUGGAUGGAUGGACGGACACUGACAUUGAGUUUACUCACUGUGAAGUCCAAGAGUGGAGGUGGGAGACUGUUGUGUUUUAAUUGAAAUGACAGCUUGUCCAUCUUUGAGUCGUUUUUUUAAACGCACUAAAAUCUGUGUUUUAUAAACCGUAGAGUUAAGAGGAAGUGAGCGAGGAGCUUCUGCGGUUGUUCAUUUAUCUGAUCUUCUUGUAUUAAUUAUUUCAAAGUGUCUUUUUAUCUCAUCUCUGCGAACGGCGCUCACACAGAUUAGUGCUUUUGACGGGCCUGACAAUAGGAGCGAGCCUUGAGAGUUAAAGAAACUCAGAGUGACGAAGGAUGUUUAAAAAUGUACAAGAGGAUAAGAGGGAGAGAGCACGGCUGAUCAGCACUUCCUCUUUGUCUGAGUUAAUGACAGGCAGAAAAAGGAGCAAAAAUAAACACCUAACAAUAGGAUAUUAAAACUUUGAUCAAUAAUUAAUGUGCUUUGAAAGUCUCUGUUUCUCUUAUUCUUUUCAAAACAGAGCUGCUUCUCUCCAGAAAACACUAAACGAAAAGACGAAAUGGAUUUUUAGAAGUGAAGCAAACACAAAAUGAAAACACGAACGAGACAAAGCAGCACAAAUCAAACCUUUUCAAACAUUCAGAAAAACAAACCAAACACAGUCAGAAGAUCCGCAGCUUUUCCACUGAUCACCAAACACAGAUCAGAGACAGAAACAAGUGGUCCAAAUUAUGAUCUAAUCCCAAAGCCUGGUCCAGACCAAGUCCAAAACACUUCUGAUCAGCAGGGAUGUGGUGACUCGGGGGUCCCACUGUCCCACAUAAAGAUAACGGCCGUCCAGUCAGAACUCGAAAGAGAUUAAGCUUCUUGUAGAGCUGCACGAUUUUGACCAGAAUUAUAAUCCAGAUUUUUUUCUCUGAAAACUUGUUUUUCGAUUUUGAUUUUUUUAUUCAGUGACAACUUCACCAAACUUCACUUUAAUAAUGAAAAGUUUUCUAUCAUCUCUUUAAAUAAAACCACUGAAAACGAUGUAGUGCAUAUGCCAUGACAGUAAGUGGCGCUGUAACGGUGUAAGACAGAAGAAGAGUACAGAGCAUGAGUAUAAAGGUUGUUUUUGGCGCCAUAAAAGAGUUACUCUGUGUGUCACAUGAUCGUUUCCAGAGAUGCAGAUAGACAUCCACACGGAGAUGAAAUGGUCGUCGUUUACAGAUUUAUUCACUCUCUGACCCGUUUUCAAAAAGUACCGUUUACAGUCACCUGAAACGCCGAUAAGACAAAAAACUUUUGCGUUUACUCCUAAAUUCGUUUCCAUGGUGACGGGUUUAUCCCGCCUUCAGACAGACUUUGCAGCGGGGAGUGGUUUACUCUUCAUCUGAAACUGUGAAGUCGUACCAAUUCAACACAACUGACUCGCUCUUGUCCUAUUUAACCACAAAAUUAUCGCCUUCUUUUGCAAACGCCAUGUUUGUUUACACUGGUGUGUGUGGGAACUUGGACUCGAUAGAAAGGAAAAUCGUUUGACGAAAUUUUUUUUAACAUCGUCAUAAUCAAAUAAUUCAAUAACGGUUUAAAAUUGGUUUAUAGUGCAGCCCUAACUCCUUGAUGCAGAUGCAGAAAAAAUGCAUAAAAAUAAACUGUAUGUUAUCCAGUGAGGGACCAGGUUAGCAAACACAAACUCAGGGAGGGUAGCUAGGUACCUUUGCAGUGACGAGACAGUUUGUGGUCUGAAAUAAUGAGUGUAACAGAGCGAUCAUGUAUCAGGCAGUGUGUGAAAGUCUAUCCUGUAUCAUAAUGACCCACAGCAGCUCUGAUAGAGCUCGAUGUGGACCAGCCGAGCCGGCCGUCAAGUUUUGGUUCACUGAGUCCUCCUCCAGUCUGUCCUAGUCCCAGUUUAAGAACUUGGACCAGAGUUCAAGCUGGUUGUUUUUUUAUCUCUGGAGGCCCAAAAAUGAGGGUUAAGGCGAAGGUGACCGUACGUCCUCUUUUACCCGGACAUGUCCUCUUUUUUGGGGGGCUGUCCGGGCUCUAAAUGUCCGUAGUUUUGUAUGAGAGUUUCGACUUCGUGUUACGUGGAUUUACUGAGUUAGAAUCUCAUAAAAGACACUUGAUCCAACCCGAAAAACUGUCAAAAUUACCUUAGUGUGACUCUGUGACUCUGCCCCCACGUAGUCGUGUCCUCUUUUUGGGAAGUCAGAAUGUGGUCACCCUAGUUGAGGUUGUACCACUUUAAAUGAUGUAAACAAACAAACAGCUGAUUGGCGGUGAGGUUUGUCAGCACGUAAACAUGAUCGUUACACCGAGGAGCGGCUAAGACGCGCUCUUCUUUGCUCUUCUUUGCUCUUCUUAUCCGUCUUUGCUCUGUCCCUCACAGCGCCGGCUGAGAAGUGAUAUCUUCAGGUCGGAUUCUGGUUGUUGGUCCUCCUGCAGAUUAAUUUCGCUGAAGUUCAAACAAGCCUCCGUGUUUUCAGACGUCUAAUAUUGAUAUUCGGGACCUCGGCGUGUGUUUUGUUUGCUGCUCCAUCUCUCCGUCAUCCUUAAUUAACCGAGUCCGUGGACAAAUAGUCAGAGAGAAGACCUAAUUUACCCCCCCACUCCUCCUCCCUCUGACCCUGUGGGUGUGGAGAGAUCUGCAGCAUAUUGAAGCCCCGCCCCCUGCUGACAUCAGAACCAGUGAAGUGAAACAAGGCCUGUGCGCGGUGAGAGCAGAGAGCGAGCACUUCAUCUCUCACCUCAAAAUCAUUAUUACCUGAUUAAGUGUGAUUAAGAGAAGAUCAUUAGCAGCUGCAUGUCCUGUCAGUAAUGAUUACUGUGACGGGUGCGUUAGAGCCGAUGAGCUCAUCUGCAGGCUUAGCCAGUCUAAUGAUUAGGGAAGCAUUGUUUAGCCGAGCCUUCAGAUGAAAGGUGGACUCGCUGCUGCUGCCGUCUGAGCGGAAAGUCAGAGCGAGGUGAGCGUCCCACCGCUGCAUCCUAAUGAGCCAAAUUGUUCUACAAGGAGGAUGACAUUGAACACAUUUUAAGUCCAAUUCCCCGACAUUGUAAACUUGUGUUAACUUGUGUUAAAGCUACUUCCUAUAACACCGAUUAUUCAGUUUAUUCAGGAGUUUAAUCAGAGGGUUAUCAAUACCACAUUUAAGUUCAGGAAAAGGGAUGAUUCAGAGGUGUUAACCCUCAGAACUCUCAGCUUUAUUUUGAUAUUUUUGGUCCGCCUUGGUGUUUUUUUAUUAUAAAAAUCUAUGUAGCAGCUCUGUUCUCUCAAGCUGUCAGUUUAUGGAGCAAAAAUGAUGUAAAAUAAAUGUGACAGACCAACAGUAAUUUGCUCAAAAAACACAUAAAUCUACAGUGACCAAACCUUUUCUCACCUGACCAUCAUUCUCUCAAGUCUUCAGGAGAAGAAAUAUUGGGAUUGGAACAAACACACAACAGAGACUAUUGACAUAUUUACACUCAUUCUUCCAGAUGUUUUUGACUAUUUACAGCUGUUUUUGCCACUCCUUGAAGCAUCAAGGGAACAAUAGAAGAAGAAUAUGAGACCAUUUAAUCGGUCGAAACUUUGACAGUAAAAGACGUCAUUAAAACAGCUCGUCAAACCCACAGACAUAAUAUACGUAGACGCCUCAAAGCCUGACGCUGCCUAUUGGAGCUCUCAUAUCAGCACGGCCGCCAUCUUGGAUGGGUCCCCCAUGCGCCUCCAGUGCAUUAAGGUAGGUAGGAAUAUCCAACCAUAUUGAUAAUAACUCUCAGAGUCUCUGCCUGAUUUUCACAUUGUUUGUUUUUUUUUUUUACAACGGCAGGGAUGUAGCAAUAAUACAGGACAAUGUCACUCAUUAAAAAUACAACAAAUUAUUUUCAAACCUAUUUGUGAAUUAUAAUUCUACAUGAUCUGGUUUCAAUACUGCGUUGGAUUUUUCAACCACAGAGUGCCAAAAAAACGGCCGUAGUUCUCCGUUGACCCCGUUUGGCUCUUGAGCGAACCUGGAGUUGGGAGACCAAUCCAAUAUGGCGGCGAUGCUGGAUAACGUUCCAGAAUGUAAUGAGGCGUCUACGUGUAUAAUGUCUACAGUCAAACUCAGAAGAUAUUAUCAGUAUUCAGUGAUAGUGAUCUUUUUUUUAUCAUAACAAUCUGAUAAAUAAUCUUGUUUUCACCGGUAUAUCACUGCAGAUUUACCAUCAGACGUCUCUCAUCAAACACCUGUUUUUGUGGCUGGACUGUAAACUUUGUAGCAGGUCUAGAAAUAUCUGGAAACCCUCGAUAGAUCGACAAAAGGGUAAACUUGUGAACUCUUUUUAUCCCACAGGGAUAGACGGUAAAGUUCCUGAGAAACUGUAAACAAUAAUAAUGGCGUCACGUGGAAUUGGCGAUCCAGCAGAGUUCUGAGCGUUAACAGUUUUCCGGACAUCUCUAUCUUCUCAAACAGACUUCCUCAGCUGAACAGGUGAGUGAAUCCUGCCCGAUAAAUGCCGCCCUGUAAUGACUAAAACACACACACACAUCCUUGACUUUCAUCUUCAGCUUCAUCUUCAAUUAAUUUCUUGAAAUUUGAUUUCAUAUGUCAGCUGAAUUAAAGAAAGAGAGUAAAUAAAUCCCGGGACACACUUAAGUGCAGGCGCCUGAGGACUCUGAGUGCGUAUGAAAAGACGCUAUAAAUAUCUGGCAUGAAUUAUCAUUAGUGAGGAACUUUGCAAUGCAGUGAUAAAUGCAAAUUAGCUUUCCCGUUUUCAUCAAAAGAUAUGUAUGCAUGGGCUCCACGCCGCCUGGAGAGACUUAGCUGCUGUUAAUAUUUGAUUGAGCUGGUUUUCGGCUUUGAUUCUCGCUGCACAGGUGACGUGAGGUUACCUGUGAAAAAUGAUAAACUGUUUUUUAACUUUAGUGUUCAUGCAGAUCUUCAGUCCUCAUACUCUGCAGCUCUCUCUCUUUGUUUGACCCGUUGUGCAGCAGAUGACUGUUUACCGUUUAAUCUGAUUGAUCAAUCUUUAUUUAUACAACGUCAAGUCACGGUUCAAGUGUUUUCACGAAAAAGGUAAAAAGGUCUAGACUCUUUUUAUAAAGACCCACUAUAAAGAAGGGUCAAGAUUGUAUGACGGAGUAUUAGGGCCACAUGAAGAAAAAAAAAUGAAGACUAAGAGAUUCAAGUCGUUCAUUUAUGGGAAUAAAGUCAUUACUAACGAGAAUAAAGUCGUAAUAAAAUCAUUAUGAUUCUUCUGAUAAUGUGAUGCUGAUGUGCCAAAAGAUCAAGUUUCUCCUUGUUUGAGAAAUUUAUAUUGAAGUUCAUUUUCACAAAAUACUCUAUGGCUCUAAUUUUGACAACUGUCAUCUUAAACAACAGGUCCGAAUAUGAGGACUUUUUUCUUGUAAGUAAUAAUUUUAAUGCAACAUUAUUCUUGUAAUAACUUUAUUAUGACUUUACUCUCAAAGGUAAUGAUUUUAAUACGACUUUAUUCUUGUAAUUACUUUAUAACGACUUUUUUUUAACUCAAAAUUUUGACUUUAAUCUCGAAAUUUUGAUUUUAAUUUCAAAAUGAAAAUUAAAAAAAUCUCCCUCCUGUAAUUAUUUUGUUUUCUUCUUGUGGCCCUAAUCCUCUUUCAUAAGAUUGAGACCCACUUCCUGAAACUCUUAACAGCGUUUAUAAGUCACAGAGGAGAGGAAGAACUUCCUUUAACAGGCAGAAACCUGGAGGAGGACCAGACUGAUGUUAGACCGUCAUCUGAGAAACUAAAGUAUACGAGCAGAUUAGAGUUUGGUGAGGAAAAGAAACAUUAAUAAUAAUAAUAAUAAUAAUAAUUUUAUUUAUAUAGCACCUUUAAAAACAGAAGUUUACAAAGUGCUUAGACAACAGUUGUAAGCACAGAGCAUCAGCACAUUGAAAAUAAAAACACAUAAAAACAAAAGCUCAGUUAAAAAACAGGCAUCUGAAUUGUAGGCCUGUUUCACUUUUCGUAAGAAACCCAGGCAAUACAAGAACCCUACAAAAUUAAGGUUAGAUUUACGUUGAGAUGACUGGUUUAUGUUGCUAUAAUUCAAAUAGGGUUAGUGUUGGAGCUCGUGGUGACCAUUAGUUUAUAAAAUACAGUCAGAAAGUCGAUUUCACAUCCUGAUCUUACAGUUUAGUUUGUUUUAAGCCUCUGAAAAGUUGAGUAAGAGUCAAAUCUGAUUUCUCAUUUCUUUGUUUUCCAAAUAAUCCGUCCAAACAUCCAAAUCUAUCAAAGUUAAAUAUCUCUGACAUGGAGUGUUUGUGAUUUCUGUCACAGUGAAUCAGCUCACCUGUCAGCUGAGUGUUUCCAGGUUCUCUCGACUCUUUGGUUCGUUGGCGCUCAGUUAAGUUUCUAUCUGCUGUUUUAAUUUACACCAGAGUGCAUGAUGGGAUAUUGUUUGGUAUGUCUUGAGUGUUGGCGUGGAAAAAGAGCAGAAUUACUGACCUUUCUGGGGGAUUUGACGGAUAAUGCAGAGCGUAAUGAUCUUCAUUUUGGAUUUCCAGAAAAUAAUAAAGCAGAAAAUGGUUUUCUUUUUGUAUCGGAGGAGAUAAUGGAGGCGAAUGACGUUUGAAUUUCACAUUAAUGUGCCGAGUGUUACCUCGGGCGCACCAUUUAACAGACAAAUCGAAAGGCCUACAAAAGCAAGGUUUAUGAGAGAGAUUUAAGGUGAACCUAAUAAACAAAAAACUCUGCAAGCCAUUACAUGAGCCAUUUACAAAAGGGCUGUUAUCACAGGGAGGGAGGCCCGGGUCACGUUAAACAAUCAAUAAUCGGGCUAAUAAAUGAAAGCGCUGAGAAUACGACCAAUAUGAGCGUCUGAUGUUCCUCCGAAGAGAAGAAAAGUGAUAAGAAAUCUGAGACGUAGGAGUGAGAUGGUUGGGAUGAACAUGAGAGAGAGAGAAAUUGAAUAAAAUACCUCACAGAUAAGCGGCUCUGGGCUCCUGUAUUCAGACAGUUUUAUCCCGUUUCUCUGCUUGAUGAGGGAUUAGAUUAAUAGUCAGAUCCAUACGUCCCAACCCGGACUGUUAAUCCCUAAUUUAUAUUGAGGUUUGCGCACCGAAGGGUUCCCCCUGCUUGGUCACGAGAUAAUCUGCGAAGAUAAUGAAUUAAACCAAAUCUCAUGAGUCUUAUUGCUGCUGCUGCAGAAAAUGAAACUUUUACUGAUAUUUUAAUAUAAAAAUGUCGAGUUUGUGCACGUGUGGAGCUUUAAAAGGCCUUGAAAGGUCAUUUUGGGAUUGUUGAGGCAGAUUUAACGAUAUCUACAUCAUUCCCCUAAAACAAAAUGCUCAUAUUUAACAAACACACUCCAUCUGUCGGGUCUCAGAUGUUUAGAGCGACGGCUCCGGGUCCAAGACUUCAGGCACUGAAACACUUUGCAGAAGUUUAUGAUCACUUUGUAUCCUGGAUGUAAAAUUUGAUGUUUUUUUUCUCCAUUCGUUUAUUUUUUAUUCUUUUCCUCCUUUGUCGAGUCACUCUGAAUUUUGCAUCCCACGACAUUUUCAAAGAUGAAGCCUCAGAGCACGAGCGUGAUGUUUAAUUCUUCUUUUUCACCAAUUUUUUAUUCCUACGCUCAGGAAAGCUUUCUCCAAUCUUCCCACCAGAGGACCCAGCGUGUCAUUUAGCCGAGAAAGUAAUCUUCUGUCUCUGAAAAACUUUUGAAUAUUUAUCUCCAGAGUGACAUCUUUAUUACAGUGUACAGAAGAAAUGUGCACAAAGGAAAAUCUGAAUAGAAAAAGCUUUAUUUGUCUGUCUUUGUCUGAGUGAAUCACAGAGAAAUGAGCGACUUCAGCUUCUCUCUAAAUACUGAGGGGAUGCCACAGGGAAGCGUGUUGGGUCCCCUCGUCUUUUUUAGAUACGAACAUAUAUUCUUUUUAUUUGAAUGAGUAAAAGGAUUUUUGAUAGUAAAAUGCUCUAAAAACUAGACUCUAAUAAUGGUACCAAGAAGCAAAAUAUCUGCCUUUGAAUCUUUGUAAUAUUUUCACUUUGUUUGGUUUUUAAAAUCUCCAAAACAAGCUGAAUAAACAAAGUUAAUUUCUUUUUACACAUUAUUUAUAAUUCUUUCGUGGAAUUCUUUACCAAUUUUGUAACCCAUGACUAUCAAUGGCUCUCUUUUCAAUUAAUCACUAAACAGUAACAGUUUUAUAUUUGAUGUUACAUGAUGGUACAAUGUUACAGAUUACACCAAAACGACGUCAAUCGAUUGGCUGACUGAUGAAUCAAUCUUUCUCUGUUUUCUUAUUUCACGUUUUUUUUCUCUUUUGUUCCAAGCGCAUGUUUGAAAUCCGUGAAAAUAACAUAAAAAGAAUGACUUACUGUUUCUUUAAAUAAUCGUUAACCUCCUCAUUAACACUGACUGUAUCUGUUUUACUGUUGGUGCAUCUGACUUCUGAUAAUUAACAAAGAUACAAUCAUCAUUUGACUUUGCUCGGUGUAGCUCCACCAUUAUUAACUCAUUAACAGCACCAGUACCAGACAUUAACAGUGUAAUUAAUAUUGAGUAAUUGUGAGGCAUUGUUUUUGCAUGAAUGAGUGAUAGUUGUAUUUAUGAUUAUCUUAAUGUUGGCUUCUGAUGAUGAGGGAAAAAUCGUUAAAUUAUUUAACUUUAGCUGAAAGUUCCCAAAGAUCCUAAAGAGGUUCUGAAAUUACGGAAGACAAUUAGGGCCACUGGAAAAUAAAAAAAAAGAGGUCAGAUAUAAUUUUUAAAUUAUCAUUCUGAGAUUAAAGUCAGAAUUCUGGCUUUUUUUUUCUCAGAAUAAUAAUUUAAAAAAAUUAUAUCAGGCCUUUUAUUUCCCCCAGCAGCUCUAAUCUAUGGAUGUGUAUUGCAUUUACCAAAAAAAAGAAAAAAAGCUUUGUUUUUCAGGGUAAUUUCUUUCUGUUCUUUUCUUGGUACUAAUUUUUUCUGCUUUUCAGAGAAUUUUUGAUCUUUUCUGUGUUUCCGACUGCGGGGGGUUUGUUUUGUUUUUCAGACAAAUUAUUUUUCCUAUUUUCAUUUAAAAACAGACGCUUUUAUCCCCUUCUGCUCGAUUUAUUAGAAACAAACACGGCCCACUUUUUUAGUUUAAUCAAGUUUUACUUUAUUUUGGGUUUGAGACACUGAGAGAUACAUCUUUCUUUUUCUUUAUGAGAUUCUCUCAGGAUUUUGAUGAUCUCGCUUAGUCAGGGGAAAAAUAAUAGUCCAAAAAACAGAAAGACAAAAAAAUAGUACAAAAAACAGAAUAAAAAUUUGUCUGAAAAACAGAAAGAGGGGGAAAAAUAUAUUAGUACAAAAACUGAAGAAACAAAAUAGUCAGAGAAAUAGAAGAAAAAAAUCUGUUAGAAAAACAUCGAAGAAAAAAGUUACUCAAAAAAAUAGUUUACUUUUUUUUUGUAAGUGAAUGCAUUACGCUUCCUUACUAAUCCUCUUCUCUAUAAAACAGUUAAUUCAUGUAUUUUUUUGCUGCAGGGACUUUGUGUCAAACAGACAUCGAAACAUCGGGUCAUUUGGUUAAAGUGACGAACAUUUGAGUUUUUAUUUUACAUCAGUUUAGAUUGAGAAAAGUGGACACAAUCUCAGGUUUUCAAUUUUAUCUGAAGUGUAAAUGACAAAUUCCAUCUUCGCCUUAAGGUAAAAAUAAACACAGUCUGGAACAUGAGGCCGUCUGAGCAGAAUCUGAGUGUAUAAACGAGGCCAAAACGACAUUAAAUUUGCAUCAUCGGCUUUGGGUUUGGAAAUCAUUGAAAAGUUCAUUUACAUGUAGUCGGAGGGAAAAUCAAUUUCACAUGCUGAUUCUGUUGAUCCUCCUUUUGUGGAUACAAAUAUCCAUCAACAGAGAGGCAGGCAAAUCAUGCCCUCGAGACACGGCUGUGCUUAGCAAGCAGCUAAAAGAGUGAGAGGGUCUGCAGAGAGAAACCCACACAGUCCUCAGAAAGAACACCGUGUCACACACACGCACACACAAACACACACACACACACACACACACACACACACACACACACACACACACACACACACACACACACACUCUUUUCAGUCUGAGUGUUCCUGCAUUUGAAUGAAGCACCAAUUUAAGAAGCACUGCAGGAGCUUCUCUGACAUAACCUCCCCCAACAAAAACACCAACAACUAUAAAGAAACUCAAGGAUGUUUUAUUUGUCCGGAUUCGCCUCGUAAGUCGUAUUUUUUCAGAUCUGGAUUGUGGGAAUGAAUGCCUGCUUGGAAAAUAAAAUCACAGUCUGUCCGAUUUUUGAACAUCUAAAAGGCCACGAGGAUCUAAAAGAGGAAAUCCACAUUUUUGCAGUGCUGGAGAAAGAGCGGUGGAGCAUUUUAAAGUGCAUUUAUGUUAAAUCUGACUUACCAAAUGAGCUGCUGUGAGAAUUUCCCUCUGAAGAGAUCUGCAGCAGAUAAAAAGAGCCGGCCCAGAGUGCCUGUGAUCAGAGAGGAGGACGCAGAUCGAGCGAAGAGCAUCAGAUAAAGACGCCUCCAUUGAGGAACCGCAUGGAACGUUUCCAAACAGACAGUAAGAUUGGUUUCCAAUUCCUCCCAUCAGACAAAUUGAGCCCGGUGGCCAAUUAUUCCCACCGCCAAUUAACCUUGCAACCGGCUCCCUCUCAGCCCCUGCGUGAGUCAGCCUGCCAAAUUUGCUUUUGCCUGUCACGUCAGCAUCGCUGAUGAAAACAGACAGGGAGAUUCUUCAGUGCUGCAUAAACAGAGCCGAAUAUCAUUGUAGGAAUCCAUACCAGCUCCUGCAGGAGACACAAACGGCAGCAUCGCAGGGACGCUGAACAGGCUGAAAACAUGCUAAGUGGACUCUGUUUAGAGAAACCUUUGAGGCAGCUGAAGACGGGAAAUCUUUAAAAAGAUGUAUAACCUAUAGAUACCCUAAUCCCCGGCUAAUCAAUUAAGAGACCUUCAACCAAUUCAGGCCUGAAGGCGAUCUUUGAGUGGUCCCAACCUGACCAGCAUCAUGAACCCAACAUGUAAUUAAACAGAAGAUAUCGUUGAAAGAGUGACCCCCAGUUUCCACCGCAUCCAGAACGGCUAUGAAAAGGUCGUAUCCUCCGAUCGUAGCUGGAAAGGACAACUGGACUUACUUGUAGUCCAAGUAAGUCCAGUUGUCCUUUCAACAAAGAACUGUAAAUCAUAGAUGCUUCAUCCUCAGUUUUAAACAACAUCUCAAGGUUUACCCCCAAUCUCCACCUUCAUCCUGAACGUCUACUAAAAGGUUGUAUCCUCCGAUCGUAGCUGAUCGUAACCAUCCAAGUUAACGUGUCAAUUUCC